ensembl:lncRNA
AUGUAUCCUUGUGUACGACCGACAAACCUUACUGGACAUAAAAGACGGAUUUUCUCAUUACUUUCCGGAGUUCAGGACCCGCCGUUUGCAGAUCCCCCAUUCAUCUCACCUGAGACGUCUUUGUUCUGGGCCCGUGGAGGCCGCAAGCGCCAACGCAGAGGGAGAAUAUCUGGCGUUCUGGUUCGACUGAGACGACGCACUAACAGACCACCAUUACCCAGUUUACUACUGGCUAAUGUGCAGUCCCUGGAGAACAAGCUGUGCAAGCUUCGGGCUCGGAUCUCAUUCCAGCGAGAGAUGCGGGACUGCUGCGCGAUCUGCCUCAUAGAAACCUGGCUAUCGGACAAAGUACCGGACACCGCAGUACAACUACCGGGGUUCUCCGUGCACCGCGCGGACAGGUCACAGGAGCUUACUGGGAAAAGCAGAGGUGGCGGUGUGUGUUUCAUGAUCAACAACAGCUGGUGUGAUUGUGCGAACUUGCACCCGGUCAAAUCCUUCUGCUCUCCGGACCUGGAGUACCUGAUGAUUAAGUGCUGGCCAUUCUGGCUACCGAGAGAAUUCCCAGCGGUGAUUAUUACGGCUGUUCACAUUCCUCCACAAGCCGACACUGACCGAGCACUCAGAGAACUGUACAGCGCGAUCAGCAAUGAGGAAACUGUACACCCAGAGGCGGCGUUUAUUACGACCAGGGACUUUAAUAAGGGUAACCUGAAGAAAGUCUCACCAAAACUACAUCAACACAUCCAUUUCAAUACACGUGGAGACCGGCUACUCGACCACUGCUACACCUCUUUCCGAGAUGCGUACAAAGCCCUCCCCCGCGCCCCAUUCGGCCAAUCAGAUCAGCGCUCCAUCCUGCUUAUACCUGUCUACAGGCAGAAGCUGAAACGGGAAGCUCCAACCCUGAGGGCGGUGCAUCGUUGGUCGGACCAAUCGGAGUCUACGCUGCAGGAUUGUUUUGAUCGGGCGGACUGGGAAAUGUUUCACGCGGCUGCUAGAGACAUUGAUGAGUACACAGACUCAGUCUGCGGAUUUAUCAGAAAAUGUGUGGAAGAUGUUGUCCCAUCCAGAACAGUUAAAUCCUUCCCAAAUCAAAAACCCUGGAUUAAUGGAGGUGUGCGAACGGCGCUGGCGGCGCGGAGCACCGCCUUUGCCUCCGCGAACACAUCAGACUACAAACACGCACAUUACCAACUCUGGAAGAUGAUCAAAGCAGCCAAACGUGAGUACAGAGACAGGGUGGAGCAACAGUUUGACAACCCCCGGAGUGUGUGGCAGGGACUAAACACAAUCACAGACUUUAGAGGGAAAACCAGAACACCGCAGACCACGCCCUCUCUGUGUGAGGAUCUAAACGUAUUCUAUGCCAGAUUCGACACAGCGAACACCAUGAGACCGGACAGUGAGCGCACCGCGGAUGACGUCAGUGCGCACACUGUGUCUGAAGAGGAUGUGCGGAGGUGCUUCAGGAGGGUGAACGCACGCAAAGCUACUGGUCCGGAUGGGAUUCCCGGCCACGUCCUCAGGUCAUGCGCGGGUCAGCUGGCUGGAGUGUUUACACACAUCUUCAACCUUUCCCUCUCUCUGUCUGUAGUCCCAGCCUGCUUCAAAAUGGCCACCAUUGUCCCUGUACCCAAAUCCUCCACCAUCUCCUCAUUGAAUGACUGA